CUGAAUAACUGAGCAAAUUGCUUCGGUCUUGCACCGGCAAUGUAUCUUUCAAGUGUCUGCCUUAUCAACUUUCGAUGGUAGUUUAUGCGCCUACCAUGGUUGUAACGGGUAACGGAGAAUUAGGGUUCGACUCCGGAGAGGGAGCCUGAGAAACGGCUACCACUUCUAAGGAAGGCAGCAGGCGCGCAAAUUACCCACUCUCGGCACGAGGAGGUAGUGACGAAAAAUAACGAGACGGGUCUCUUCUGAGAGCCGUCAUCGGAAUGAGAACAACUUAAAACCUUUAACGAGGACCUAGCGGAGGGCAAGUCUGGUGCCAGCAGCCGCGGUAAUUCCAGCUCCGCCAGUGUAUAUCUAUGCUGCUGCGGUUAAAAAG
rnacentral:rRNA from 1 species